GAUGAACGCUAGCGGCAGGCCUAACACAUGCAAGUCGAGGGGUAACGGGAGAAAGCUUGCUUUUUCGCCGACGACCGGCGCACGGGUGCGGAACGCGUAUGGAACCUGCCCCUGUCAGGGGAAUAGCCCAGAGAAAUUUGGAUUAAUGCCCCAUGGUACCUUCGGGACACAUGUUCUGGAGGUUAAAGAUUUAUCGGACAGGGAUGGCCAUGCGUACCAUUAGUUAGUUGGUGAGGUAACGGCUCACCAAGGCCACGAUGGUUAGGGGCCCUGAGAGGGGGAUCCCCCACACUGGUACUGAGACACGGACCAGACUCCUACGGGAGGCAGCAGUGAGGAAUAUUGGACAAUGGGCGGGAGCCUGAUCCAGCCAUGCCGCGUGCAGGAUGACGGCCCUAUGGGUUGUAAACUGCUUUUGUACGGGAAGAAACCUGUCCACGUGUGGACAGCUGACGGUACCGUAAGAAUAAGGACC
rnacentral:rRNA from 1 species